rnacentral:rRNA from 1 species
AUUGAACGCUGGCGGCAGGCCUAACACCAGCAAGUCGAGCGAGCGGCGGACGGGUGAGUAAUGUAUGGGGAAUGCCCGAUAGAGUGGUCUAACUACUGGAAACGGUGGCUCCUACCUCAUACCAUAGGAUACCCCAUAUGGGAUUAGCUAGUAGGUGGGGUAAAGGCUCACUUAGGCGACGAUCUCUAGCUGGUCUGAGGGGAUGCUCAGGGACACUGGGACGGAGACACGGCCCAUACUCCUACGGAGGCAGCAUUGGGGAAUAAUGCACAAUGGGCGCAAGCCUGAUGCAGCCAUGCCGCCAGUAUGAAGAAGGCCUUCGGGUUGUAAGAUACGUUCAGUCGGGAGGCGUUACCCGCAGAAGAAGCACCGGCUAACUCCGUGCCAGCAGCCGCGGUAAUAC